rnacentral:piRNA from 1 species
ACGGCGCUGUGAAGCCUCCAGCUAAAG